rnacentral:rRNA from 1 species
CCUACGGGAGGCAGCAGUGGGGAAUUUUUGGCAAUGGGCGAAAGCCUGACCGAGCGACGCCGCGUGGACGAUGAAGGCCUUCGGGUUGUAAAGUCCUGUCAGAAAGGAAGAAAGCUAUUAUCUUGAAUAAAGAUAAUAGUUGACAGUACUUUCAGAGGAAGCUCCGGCUAACUCCGUGCCAGCAGCCGCGGUAAAACGGAGGGAGCAAUCGUUAUUCGGAUUUACUGGGCGUAAAGCGCACGUAGGUGGCUAAGCAGGUCACAUGUUAAAGCCCCUUGCUCAACGAGGGAAAAGCAUGUGAAACCGUUUAGCUUGAGUUCAGGGGAAGUAGACGGAAUUCCCGGUGGAGCGGUGAAAUGCGUAGAUAUCGGGAGGAACACCUGCGGCGAAAGCGGUCUACUAAACUGAUACUGACACUGAGGUGCGAAAGCUAGGGGAGCAAACAGGAUUAGAUACCCCUGUAGU